rnacentral:rRNA from 1 species
AUUGCAUUUGACCUCAAAUCAGGUAGGAUNACCCGCUGAAC